AGGCUUAACACAUGCAAGUCGAGGGGCAUCAGGAAGAAAGCUUGCUUUCUUUGCUGGCGACCGGCGCACGGGUGAGUAACACGUAUCCAACCUGCCCUUUACUCGGGGAUAGCCUUUCGAAAGAAAGAUUAAUACCCGAUGGCAUAAUGAUUCCGCAUGGUUUCAUUAUUAAAGGAUUCCGGUAAAGGAUGGGGAUGCGUUCCAUUAGGUUGUUGGUGAGGUAACGGCUCACCAAGCCUUCGAUGGAUAGGGGUUCUGAGAGGAAGGUCCCCCACAUUGGAACUGAGACACGGUCCAAACUCCUACGGGAGGCAGCAGUGAGGAAUAUUGGUCAAUGGGCGCUAGCCUGAACCAGCCAAGUAGCGUGAAGGAUGAAGGCUCUAUGGGUCGUAAACUUCUUUUAUAUAAGAAUAAAGUGCAGUAUGUAUACUGUUUUGUAUGUAUUAUAUGAAUAAGGAUCGGCUAACUCCGUGCCAGCAGCCGCGGUAAUACGGAGGAUCCGAGCGUUAUCCGGAUUUAUUGGGUUUAAAGGGAGCGUAGGUGGACUGGUAAGUCAGUUGUGAAAGUUUGCGGCUCAACCGUAAAAUUGCAGUUGAUACUGUCAGUCUUGAGUACAGUAGAGGUGGGCGGAAUUCGUGGUGUAGCGGUGAAAUGCUUAGAUAUCACGAAGAACUCCGAUUGCGAAGGCAGCUCACUGGACUGCAACUGACACUGAUGCUCGAAAGUGUGGGUAUCAAACAGGAUUAGAUACCCUGGCAGUCCACACAGUAAACGAUGAAUACUCGCUGUUUGCGAUAUACAGUAAGCGGCCAAGCGAAAGCAUUAAGUAUUCCACCUGGGGAGUACGCCGGCAACGGUGAAACUCAAAGGAAUUGACGGGGGCCCGCACAAGCGGAGGAACAUGUGGUUUAAUUCGAUGAUACGCGAGGAACCUUACCCGGGCUUAAAUUGCAGUGGAAUGAUGUGGAAACAUGUCAGUGAGCAAUCACCGCUGUGAAGGUGCUGCAUGGUUGUCGUCAGCUCGUGCCGUGAGGUGUCGGCUUAAGUGCCAUAACGAGCGCAACCCUUAUCUUUAGUUACUAACAGGUUAUGCUGAGGACUCUAGAGAGACUGCCGUCGUAAGAUGUGAGGAAGGUGGGGAUGACGUCAAAUCAGCACGGCCCUUACGUCCGGGGCUACACACGUGUUACAAUGGGGGGUACAGAAGGCAGCUAGCGGGUGACCGUAUGCUAAUCCCAAAAGCCUCUCUCAGUUCGGAUCGAAGUCUGCAACCCGACUUCGUGAAGCUGGAUUCGCUAGUAAUCGCGCAUCAGCCACGGCGCGGUGAAUACGUUCCCGGGCCUUGUACACACCGCCCGUCAAGCCAUGGGAGCCGGGGGUACCUGAAGUACGUAACCGCAAGGAUCGUCCUAGGGUAAAACUGGUGACUGGGGCUAAGUCG
rnacentral:rRNA from 1 species